UACUGAGUGGCAGACGGGUGAGUAACAUGUGGGAAUCUGCCUUGUGGUUCAGGACAACAUUGGGAAACCGAUGCUAAUACUGGAUAAGCCCUUACGGGGAAAGUUUUAAUGCCACAAGAUGAGCCCGCAUUUGAUUAGUUAGUUGGUGAGGUAAUGGCUCACCAAGACAAUGAUCAAUAGCUGAUCUGAGAGGAUGAUCAGCCACACUGGGACUGAGACACGGCCCAGACUCCUACGGGAGGCAGCAGUGGGGAAUCUUGCACAAUGGAGGAAACUCUGAUGCAGCGAUGCCGCGUGAGUGAAGAAGGCCUUUGGGUUGUAAAGCUCUUUUGUAGGGGAAGAUAAUGACUGUACCCUAAGAAUAAGGUCCGGCUAACUUCGUGCCAGCAGCCGCGGUAAUACGAAGGGACCUAGCGUAGUUCGGAAUUACUGGGCGUAAAGCGCGCGUAGGCCGUUGAGUUAGUUA
rnacentral:rRNA from 1 species